AUGGUGCCUAAGAAUGACACCUGGUGCUUGUGUUUCGACUUUAAGGACCUCAACAAAGUUUGCCCAAAGGAUCCGUUCCCUCUGCCACGCACUGACCAGAUCAUCGAUGCCACGGUCAGGCACAAGUUGAUGGACUUCCUGGAUGCGUACUCAGGGUACCACCAGAUUAAGGUGAAGGUGUCCGACCAGGAGGCCACCACAUUCAUCACAAAAGUACGGUCCGUUCUGCUAUAUAACGAUGCCCUUUGGGCUCAAGAAUGCAGGAGCCACGUACCAGCGUAUGAUAACAUGCCUGCAUACGCAGGUCGGCAAAACUAUUGA
rnacentral:rRNA from 1 species